UGGGGAAUAUUGCACAAUGGGCGAAAGCCUGAUGCAGCGACGCCGCGUGGGGGAUGACGGCCUUCGGGUUGUAAACCCCUUUCAGUAGGGAAGAAGCGAGAGUGACGGUACCUGCAGAAGAAGCGCCGGCUAACUACGUGCCAGCAGCCGCGGUAAUACGUAGGGCGCAAGCGUUGUCCGGAAUUAUUGGGCGUAAAGAGCUUGUAGGUGGCUUGUCGCGUCUGCCGUGAAAACCCGAGGCUCAACCUCGGGCGUGCGGUGGGUACGGGCAGGCUAGAGUGUGGUAGGGGAGACUGGAACUCCUGGUGUAGCGGUGAAAUGCGCAGAUAUCAGGAAGAACACCGAUGGCGAAGGCAGGUCUCUGGGCCAUUACUGACACUGAGAAGCGAAAGCAUGGGUAGCGAACA
rnacentral:rRNA from 2 species